ACGACAUGCCAGAUACGAGGCUUGGCAUUUUAUGUAUUAUCGUCAUCUCAGACUUUCUUAGGCUGCACUUUCUCCUGCUAUGGAAUAUGGCCAAAAUGACAUCAUAGUAUGCAGUUCAUUAUGAGAAGAGCUUGCAUCAGAGAAGGCUGUUGUUGAGAUCUUGAAAUGGCUUGACUGGUUACAAUUAUUCAGGGCCUGAUUCUUCACAGGACAUGGUCCUUGCAACCAAGCAGAGAUGGGACUUCAGAGGGACCGACUUCCAAUAUGGGUAGUGGAUAAUUACAUCAGGGAAGCAUCAAAUGUAAUUGGACCUAGAUUGAACCCACUUCAAUAACAGUAAAGGAUAUAAGGCAUACAAUUUUGUGCCUUUAUAUGAAGGCAAGAGGACAAGAUUGGCACAAAUAAUAGAAGAGAAGCUGACGGCAGUAAAUCCUGUCUCUAAACACCACAAGGAUACUAUGUAUGCGUACGUGUGCCAAUGAACUAUGGUGAUAGUGGAAAAAAGACCAGUUCCUCAGCACCACAGCCCUACCACCCACUAACCCCAACAUUUUUCCAUAAGAAACACAGAGUGAGUGAAUAAGUGAAUACUUCUACAAAAUUUCAGAGGGGCUCUAGAUGACAAAACAGUGUCAACUAGAUUUCUAAGUCUGCUGUUUAUUUCAAGUGCCAGAUAACUCAAGUAAAAUAAGUGGAUAAAUAUUCUAUGUUGGUGUAUUUCCCUGGUCGAGAGCCUGGGGGAAGAAUCUAAAUGGUAAUUUGGAGCAGACCUCUUGCUGACAAUUAAAUUCCAUCUGGUCUUUGGGUUAAACAACAUUUAUUCAAUUAUUAUUAUUGUCACAUUUACCACCAGAGGGAGCCCAUAUAUCCCCUUCAACUAGAGACCAACAGGCUCCAAAGUAACAAUGCUUUUACUUCUGAUUUUGGUAUUAAAAUAUAUUAUGUAAUUUUGCCUGGAA